GACGAACGCUGGCGGCGUGCCUAACACAUGCAAGUCGAACGCUGAAGCUUGGUGCUUGCACUGGGUGGAUGAGUGGCGAACGGGUGAGUAAUACGUGAGUAACCUGCCCUUGACUCUGGGAUAAGCCUGGGAAACUGGGUCUAAUACUGGAUACGACAUGUCACCGCAUGGUGGUGUGUGGAAAGGGUUUUACUGGUUUUGGAUGGGCUCACGGCCUAUCAGCUUGUUGGUGGGGUAAUGGCUCACCAAGGCGACGACGGGUAGCCGGCCUGAGAGGGUGACCGGCCACACUGGGACUGAGACACGGCCCAGACUCCUACGGGAGGCAGCAGUGGGGAAUAUUGCACAAUGGGCGAAAGCCUGAUGCAGCGACGCCGCGUGAGGGAUGACGGCCUUCGGGUUGUAAACCUCUUUCAGCACGGAAGAAGCGAAAGUGACGGUACGUGCAGAAGAAGCGCCGGCUAACUACGUG
rnacentral:rRNA from 1 species